rnacentral:rRNA from 1 species
AUCCGGAUAAUCAAGGCUGAGGUGUGAUGACGAGGCACUACGGUGCUGAAGUAACAAAUGCCCUGCUUCCAGGAAAAGCCUCUAAGCAUCAGGUAACAUCAAAUCGUACCCCAAACCGACACAGGUGGUCAGGUAGAGAAUACCAAGGCGCUUGAGAGAACUCGGGUGAAGGAACUAGGCAAAAUGGUGCCGUAACUUCGGGAGAAGGCACGCUGGUGUGUAGGUGAAGUCCCUGCGGAUGGAGCUGAGACCAGUCGAAGAUACCAGCUGGCUGCAACUGUUUAUUAAAAACACAGCACUGUGCAAACACGAAAGUGGACGUAUACGGUGUGACGCCUGCCCGGUGCCGGAAGGUUAAUUGAUGGGGUUAUCCGUAAGGAGAAGCUCUUGAUCGAAGCCCCGGUAAACGGCGGCCGUAACUAUAACGGUCCUAAGGUAGCGAAAUUCCUUGUCGGGUAAGUUCCGACCUGCACGAAUGGCGUAAUGAUGGCCAGGCUGUCUCCACCCGAGACUCAGUGAAAUUGAACUCGCUGUGAAGAUGCAGUGUACCCGCGGCAAGACGGAAAGACCCCGUGAACCUUUACUAUAGCUUGACACUGAACAUUGAGCCUUGAUGUGUAGGAUAGGUGGGAGGCUUUGAAGCGUGGACGCCAGUCUGCGUGGAGCCAACCUUGAAAUACCACCCUUUAAUGUUUGAUGUUCUAACGUUGGCCCCUUACCGGGGUUGCGGACAGUGUCUGGUGGGUAGUUUGACUGGGGCGGUCUCCUCCCAAAGCGUAACGGAGGAGCACGAAGGUUAGCUAAUCCUGGUCGGACAUCAGGAGGUUAGUGCAAUGGCAUAAGCUAGCUUGACUGCGAGCGUGACGGCGCGAGCAGGUGCGAAAGCAGGUCAUAGUGAUCCGGUGGUUCUGAAUGGAAGGGCCAUCGCUCAACGGAUAAAAGGUACUCCGGGGAUAACAGGCUGAUACCGCCCAAGAGUUCAUAUCGACGGCGGUGUUUGGCACCUCGAUGUCGGCUCAUCACAUCCUGGGGCUGAAGUAGGUCCCAAGGGUAUGGCUGUUCGCCAUUUAAAGUGGUACGCGAGCUGGGUUUAGAACGUCGUGAGACAGUUCGGUCCCUAUCUGCCGUGGGCGCUGGAGAAUUGAGGGGGGCUGCUCCUAGUACGAGAGGACCGGAGUGGACGCAUCACUGGUGUUCGGGUUGUCAUGCCAAUGGCACUGCCCGGUAGCUAAAUGCGGAAGAGAUAAGUGCUGAAAGCAUCUAAGCACGAAACUUGCCCCGAGAUGAGUUCUCCCUGAGACUUUAAGUCUCCUGAAGGAACGUUGAAGACGACGACGUUGAUAGGCCGGGUGUGUAAGCGCAGCGAUGCGUUGAGCUAACCGGUACUAAUGAACCGUGAGGCUUAACCUUACAACGCCGAAG